GACGAACGCUGGCGGCGUGCUUAACACAUGCAAGUAGGACGCAGUUGCGAACGGGUGAGUAACGCGUAGGUAACUACCUAUUAGAGGGGGAUAACUAUUGGAAACGAUAGCUAAUACCGCAUACUAGUAGAUGGACCUGCGUUGUAUUAGCUAGUAGGUAGGGUAAUGGCCUACCUAGGCCACGAUACAUAGCCGACUCGCGAGGGUGAACGGCCAAAAUGGGACUGGGACACGGCCCAGGACCCUACGGGAGGCAGCAGUAGGGAAUCUUCGGCAAUUGGGGGAAACCUGACCGAGCAAAGCCGCGUGAGUGAAGAAGGUUUUCGGAUCGUAAAGCUCUGUUGUUAAGGAAGCGGUACUUAACCAGAAAGGGACGGCUAACUACGUGCCAGCAGCCGCGGUAAUUC
rnacentral:rRNA from 1 species